UACGUAGGUGGCAAGCGUUGUCCGGAAUUAUUGGGCGUAAAGCGCGCGCAGGCGGUCCUUUAAGUCUGAUGUGAAAGCCCACGGCUCAACCGUGGAGGGUCAUUGGAAACUGGGGGACUUGAGUACAGAAGAGAAGAGUGGAAUUCCACGUGUAGCGGUGAAAUGCGUAGAGAUGCGGAGGAACACCAGUGGCGAAGGCGACUCUUUGGUCUGUAACUGACGCUGAGGCGCGAAAGCGUGGGGAGCAAACAGG
rnacentral:rRNA from 1 species